rnacentral:rRNA from 1 species
GAUGAACGCUGGCGGCGUGCCUAAUACAUGCAAGUCGAGCGAAUGGAUUGAGAGCUUGCUCUUAUGAAGUUAGCGGCGGACGGGUGAGUAACACGUGGGUAACCUGCCCAUAAGACUGGGAUAACUCCGGGAAACCGGGGCUAAUACCGGAUAACAUUUUGAACCGCAUGGUUCGAAAUUGAAAGGCGGCUUCGGCUGUCACUUAUGGAUGGACCGGCGUCGCAUUAGCUAGUUGGUGAGGUAACGGCUCACCAAGGCAACGAGGCGUAGCCGACCUGAGAGGGUGAUCGGCCACACUGGGACUGAGACACGGCCCAGACUCCUACGGGAGGCAGCAGUAGGGAAUCUUCCGCAAUGGACGAAAGUCUGACGGAGCAACGCCGCGUGAGUGAUGAAGGCUUUCGGGUUGUAAAACUCUGUUGUUAGGGAAGAACAAGUGCUAGUUGAAUAAGCUGGCACCUUGACGGUACCUAACCAGAAAGCCACGGCUAACUACGUGCCAGCCGCCGCAGUAA